CAAUAGCGUAUAUUAAAGUUGUUGCAGUUAAAAAGCUCGUAGUUGGAUUUCUGGUGGGAGCGAUCGGUCUGGCGCUUAGCGCGAGUACUUGCAUCGUCUCCGGCCAUCCUUGGGGAGAGUCUGUCUGGCAUUAGGUUGUCGGGCAGAGGAUCCUCAUCGUUUACUGUGAAAAAAUUAGAGUGUUCAAAGCAGGCUUAUGCCGUUGAAUAUAUUAGCAUGGAAUAAUAAGAUAGGACUUUGGUACUAUUUUGUUGGUUUGCGCACCAAAGUAAUGAUUAAUAGGGACAGUUGGGGGUAUUCGUAUUCCGUUGUCAGAGGUGAAAUUCUUGGAUUUACGGUAGACGAACUACUGCGAAAGCAUUUACCAAGGAUGUUUUCAUUAA
rnacentral:rRNA from 1 species